GUCCACGCCGUAAACGAUAACCACUAGAUGUUGGUUCGGCUUAGCUGGAUCAGUGUCGUAGCUAACGCGUUAAGUGGUUCGCCUGGGGAGUAUGGUCGCAAGGCUAAAACUUAAAGAAUUGACGGGGUCCGCACAAGCGGUGGAACAUGUGGUUUAAUUCGACACUACGCGAGGAACCUUACCUGGACUUGACAUGUACUCGACAGCUGUAGAAAUAUGGUCUUUUGGGUUUCGAUUCAAACGGGUACACAGGUGCUGCAUGGCUGUCGU
rnacentral:rRNA from 1 species